AUAGUGCUUGCCAGUGAAUUCCAGGAAUCCUUCCAUGCCGCAUAGAACAACUUUCAAAAUAAAGGAGGACGCGUUACUAAAAAAAAAUUAAGAUUAAACCAGUCCUCUUCAUCACGUUCAGCGGAAAUCCGGCCACUUUUCUUCAUAAAGAUCGAAGCGUCGAAUCUCGAAGGACGAACUUCUGAAUGAAAUCGACUUCGAGAACGACUCGUGGGUGUUUAAUUGAUAUUCGAUAGAAUGGAAGGAAAUAAGAAGAACGAAUAGUGGAUUGUAGAUCUUGUUUGGUACAAAAUUGUAGCGUGGAAGAUACUUAAUUUGUUGGUAAAGAUAUUACAAUAUAAGGUAGCGAUUUUCUACAUCUUCACGUUUUGUGUGAGAAUUCAGAAGCAGUCAGGGCGGAAGCUUCGAACACUUCCCUGCCUUCUUCUUGGUCUGUAAUUCAAAUAAUAAUAUAUUUCCAUUAUUGUACCGUUUACAAAAGCAUUAAAAUUAAUUAUGGUAACUUACGAUUUGAUAUUGUAUUUGACAAAUUCUACCAUCCGGAUCAUCUCGUAUUAAUUUAAUCUGAAUUUUGAUGAAAAUAACAGAACUGAGAAACUGAUGAUAAAAAUUGUUUUGUAAAAAUAGGGAAGAGAUACGGAAAAUAAAUAGGGUAAUAUUUUACCAAAGUGGCAUAAUCUGUACCUCGAAGUUCUUUCCAUUCGAGAAAGGAUUUCAACUCUUGAACUACUGCUGGAAGAGUUGUGAUUCUUCUCAGAACAUAUACGAUAUUAUCGUAUGCCAUCAUUUCUAAUCUACUAAAUAAAUGAAAGAACAGGUUGAAACAAUAAAAAUAAAAAUUUGUAGUUAAUGAUAAAAACUUGUCAAUAAUACAACCAUAAAAUUUAUAUUUAAAAAUUCAAAUUCAUUCAAGUUCAUAAAUUUAAAGCUUGUAAGAAACCCUUCGUAUUUAUUUACACGUCUUAACAGUUAUUUCCUGAUAAAAAAACAAAAAAAUGGUUUAGAAAAAUAA